GAUGAACGCUGGCGGCGUGCCUAAUACAUGCAAGUCGAGCGAACAGACGAGGAGCUUGCUCCUCUGACAUUAGCGGCGGACGGGUGAGUAACACGUGGAUAACCUACCUAUAAGACUGGGAUAACUUCGGGAAACCGGAGCUAAUACCGGAUAAUAUAUUGAACCGCAUGGUUCAAUAGUGAAAGACGGUUUUGCUGUCACUUAUAGAUGGAUCCGCGCCACAUUAGCUAGUUGGUAAGGUAACGGCUUACCAAGGCAACGAUGCGUAGCCGACCUGAGAGGGUGAUCGGCCACACUGGAACUGAGACACGGUCCAGACUCCUACGGGAGGCAGCAGUAGGGAAUCUUCCGCAAUGGGCGAAAGCCUGACGGAGCAACGCCGCGUGAGUGAUGAAGGUCUUCGGAUCGUAAAACUCUGUUAUUAGGGAAGAACAAAUGUGUAAGUAACUAUGCACGUCUUGACGGUACCUAAUCAGAAAGCCACGGCUAACUACGUG
rnacentral:rRNA from 1 species